ACCUAAUGUUCCAAGGUCCAAGCAAGCUCUCAAAACUAUACAAAACUAACAAUAUUUUAUGCUCCACUUUUCUGCAAUUACUAUUCAUUCUCCCCACUCCUUUGUUUUCAACCCUCACUUCCCUCUGCUCACACCUCCCUUAACCUCUCUAAUGGCUUAUAGAAAAAUUUCUUAACAAUCCACUAGUAUUAUAAAUCUUCAUUUAAUUAAUUCUAGAUCAUCUCUUUUUUGGCACUGUUACUUAAGUCUUUGUUUCUUUACUUUAUCUUGUUAUUCAUAUGGACUAAUCAAUCUGAUUUAUGGGUUUUUGUUAGUUCUUAUUGUUUUUUUAUCCAGCUUAAUCAUAUUUGAGAUAUGGGUGUUGGAUUUGAAGUUAAAGAUUGUGGCUUUGACUGUUGAAGUCAGCUUUUUUGAUAACGGAUUUUGACUUGUCUCUGGGUUGUUGAAUGAUGGUUAAAAGUAGAGGAAAAGGAAAGAAGCAGCAUAGUGCUGCCACUAGUGAAGAUAUGGGGAGUGGUGUGGAAGAGAAGGUUCCGGCCAGGAGAAGAGGAAGGCCAUUAAAGAUAUCGAAGAAUGAAAAUCAGGUACAUGAUGAACCUGAGAAGGUAGAAGAAGAGGAAGGGAGUGAGAAGACAUAUGGCGUUCUGUCUGACCAAAGUAUCAAACCUCAAAUGAAUGUGGAGAAUGGCAGAAAGAGGAGACCUUCGCGGAUUAAGGAAAGCCAUGAAAUGAAUGGGGAUCAAACUGGUGUAGAGACCAAAGUUAAUUCUGCUGAUUCAAUCAAGCCUGUUGGCUUCAGGCAAAUCGGGAGUAGACGGAAAAACAAGCCGCGGCGAGCUGCUGAAGUUGGUGUUGAGUGCCGCUGAAGUCCGGGUCAGUUGUUGAGAGCGUGAUGUUUUGUUUUUGAAAUUUGAUUUAUUAUGGAUCCUAUAAUGUUUUAAGAUUUUGACAAUAGCUAUGCUGUUUACUUUGAUCAGUAUACUGGUCAUGGAAGCAUUUGUCUAAUAUCUAUAUCAUUAUAAGCUA